rnacentral:rRNA from 1 species
AUGGCGCACCUGCCUCGUGCUCCUCCUCGCACUUCUUGGUUUCAUGAGUUCCCACCCUCUCCUCAUCCUGUUCCCUCCUCCGGACCUCCUCUUCGCCGAGGUUUUCCUGAUGCUCGUCCUCGCCGCAGCAGGCGACAUGCUGCUGGCGCUGCCUCGCCGAUAGGCGGCGGAAGCGGCGGCGCGCGCGACACACUCCAGCGCGCGCCUCCGCUACAGGCCCUGGACGCCCACCAGCGGGUCCAGGGCAACGGGCUCGAUGUUCUGCUGAUGAUGGCCACCGCCUCCUCCUGCGGCGGCAUCAACACGCGCCGCACCGACAAUCUCCUCCCGCUCCUGCUCCCCUGCGUGCGCGAGCAAACCUCCGCCCCCCGAGUCUCUUCGGCUUCCUCCCGCGCCCGCUCCGACAGCGCAGCCGCGGACGCGGAGGAGAACGAGCCCGAGGCGUCCGCGGGGAGGAGCGCGCAGGUGCUGCUCGCCGCGGCAGCAAGUGGCGGGCGCGGCGGCCCCUACGGCCGCCGCCCGUCGUCCUCCUGCGCCCCCUGGAACGCCGGCCCCCUCAUCGCGCACCGCCCGGCGACCCCGUCGCCCGUAUGCUGCCCCGUCGUCGCGUCACCGGAGGAACAAGAGCAAGGGAGCUUACCAACGAGACCCGCUGAUGCUGUCAAUGAAUGGAGAUUACCUAAAGUAAGUGAAGAGGAAGAUGAGGCAGUGAAUCAGAAGGACUGUCAGGAUAAUACUAUGUCAUGUAGUGUGUCCUCAGCUCGUGAUUGGAACUUCGGGUCUGAUAGUGUCUAUGAGGGAAGCAAUCAUGAUGGUCGUGCUUUUGACCAUUCAGAGGUUGAGGAUUGUGCAGCUGCAGUGCAAAGGACGGAGAGACGGGUCCUGGGUCCUGUGAUUAAACAGAAGGAAAGUAUUGUCCUAGACAAGUUGCCUGCCUGGAAGGAUUCACAGAUUCUAAAGCUCAUAUACAAGCUGAAUCAGAAAGAUCGAUGGCAGAAAAACAAGAUUGCACGGCCAGGGAUCAGGGAUGAGCUUACAGAAACUGAGGAACAAGAUCAAGGGAGGUUACCAACGAGAGAGGACUUGGUCAAGUGUUUCUCUAUGCCACGAAACAUCCGACUACAGACUCCCAGGCACCCUUCUCUGCUGGAUAUGAGAGUUGACAAAUCCAAUCGAGGGCCUCCAAAAUUCGUCCACAAGGCCACGCCAGCUAGAUUGAUGCGCCGAGCUCGCUCCUCACAUAAUUACCAUGGGAAGUGCAUGGGAGCAAUUGAUGCUGUCAAUGAAUGGAGAUUGCCUAAAGUAAAUGAAGAGGAAGAUGAGGCAGUGGAUCAGAAGGACUGGCAGGAUGAUACCGUGUCAUGUCGUGCAUCCUCAGCUCGUGAUUGGAACUUCGAGUCUAAUAGUGCUAAUGAGGGAAGCAAUCAUGAUGAUGGUCAUGCUUUUGACCAUUCAGAUGUCGAGGAUUGUGCAGCUGCAGUGCAAAGGAUGGAAAGACGGCUUCCUGGGAUAAACUGGCAAAAACUGAGAACAAGUUGGAGAAGCAGAGAAGUGAAACCGUAG